rnacentral:rRNA from 1 species
UACGGAGGGUGCGAGCGUUGUCCGGAAUCACUGGGCGUAAAGGGCGCGUAGGCGGCCUGAUAAGUCGGGGGUGAAAUCCUGCGGCUUAACCGCAGGGCUGCCUUCUAAACUGUCAGGCUUGAGCACAGUAGAGGCAGGUGGAAUUCCCGGUGUAGCGGUGAAAUGCGCAGAUAUCAGGAAGAACACCUAUGGCGAAGGCAGCUCUCUGGGACGGUACUGACGCUGAGACGCGAAAGCGUGGGGAGCGAACAGG